GCGGGGCUAUAAUGCAAGUCGAGCGGACAGAUGGGAGCUUGCUCCCUGAUGUUAGCGGCGGACGGGUGAGUAACACGUGGGUAACCUGCCUGUAAGACUGGGAUAACUCCGGGAAACCGGGGCUAAUACCGGAUGCUUGAUUGAACCGCAUGGUUCAAUUAUAAAAGGUGGCUUUUAGCUACCACUUACAGAUGGACCCGCGGCGCAUUAGCUAGUUGGUGAGGUAACGGCUCACCAAGGCAACGAUGCGUAGCCGACCUGAGAGGGUGAUCGGCCACACUGGGACUGAGACACGGCCCAGACUCCUACGGGAGGCAGCAGUAGGGAAUCUUCCGCAAUGGACGAAAGUCUGACGGAGCAACGCCGCGUGAGUGAUGAAGGUUUUCGGAUCGUAAAACUCUGUUGUUAGGGAAGAACAAGUACCGUUCGAAUAGGGCGGUACCUUGACGGUACCUAACCAGAAAGCCACGGCUAACUACGUGCCAGCAGCCGCGGUAAUACGUAGGUGGCAAGCGUUGUCCGGAAUUAUUGGGCGUAAAGCGCGCGCAGGCGGUUUCUUAAGUCUGAUGUGAAAGCCCCCGGCUCAACCGGGGAGGGUCAUUGGAAACUGGGGAACUUGAGUGCAGAAGAGGAGAGUGGAAUUCCACGUGUAGCGGUGAAAUGCGUAGAGAUGUGGAGGAACACCAGUGGCGAAGGCGACUCUCUGGUCUGUAACUGACGCUGAGGCGCGAAAGCGUGGGGAGCGAACAGGAUUAGAUACCCUGGUAGUCCACGCCGUAAACGAUGAGUGCUAAGUGUUAGAGGGUUUCCGCCCUUUAGUGCUGCAGCAAACGCAUUAAGCACUCCGCCUGGGGAGUACGGUCGCAAGACUGAAACUCAAAGGAAUUGACGGGGGCCCGCACAAGCGGUGGAGCAUGUGGUUUAAUUCGAAGCAACGCGAAGAACCUUACCAGGUCUUGACAUCCUCUGACAACCCUAGAGAUAGGGGUUCCCCUUCGGGGGCAAAGUGACAGGGGGUGCAUUGGUUGUCGUCAGCUCCUGGUCCUGAGAAUGUUGGGGUUAAGUCCCCGCACCGAGCGCAACCCUUUGAUCUUAAGUUGCCAGCAUUUCAGUUGGGGCACCCUAAAGGGGACU
rnacentral:rRNA from 1 species